rnacentral:rRNA from 1 species
GAUGAACGCUGGCGGCGUGCCUAAUACAUGCAAGUCGAGCGAAGCGGGGACGGGUGAGUACCACGUGGAUAACUUCCUAUAAGACUGGGAUACCUUCGGGAACCCGGAGCUAAAUCGGAUCCUUAUACAUGGUUCCGCGCUGCAUUAGUUAGUUGGUACGGUAACGGCUUACCAAGGCAACGAUGCAUAGCCGACCUGAGAGGAUGAUCGGCCACACUGGAACUGAGACACGGUCCAGACUCCUACGGGAGGCAGCAGUAGGGAAUCUUCCACAAUGGGCGAAAGCCUGACGGAGCAACGCCGCGUGAGUGAAGAAGGUCUUCGGAUCGUAAAGCUCUGUUAGUAGGGAAGCGGUACCUAAACAGAAAGCCACGGCUAACUACGUGCCAGCAGCCGCGGUAAUAC